AAAACGACUCUCGGCAACGGAUAUCUCGGCUCUCUCUCGCAUCGAUGAAGAACGUAGCGAAAUGCGAUACUUGGUGUGAAUUGCAGUAUCCCGUGAACCAUCGAGUCUUUGAACGCAAGUUGCGCCCCAAGCCUUCUGGCCGAGGGCACGUCUGCCUGGGUGUCACAA
rnacentral:rRNA from 1 species